UCUUACGGGAAGCAGCAGUGGGGAAUAUUGGACAAUGGGGGCAACCCUGAUCCAGCAAUGCCGCGUGUGUGAAGAAGGUUUUCGGAUUGUAAAGCACUUUCGGCGGGGACGAUGAUGACGGUACCCGCAGAAGAAGCCCCGGCUAACUUCGUGCCAGCAGCCGCGGUAAUACGAAGGGGGCUAGCGUUGCUCGGAAUGACUGGGCGUAAAGGGCGCGUAGGCGGUUGACACAGUCAGGUGUGAAAUUCCCGGGCUUAACCUGGGGGCUGCAUUUGAGACGUGUUGACUAGAGUGUGAGAGAGGGUUGUGGAAUUCUCAGUGUAGAGGUGAAAUUCGUAGAUAUUGGGAAGAACACCGGUGGCGAAGGCGGCAACCUGGCUCAUAACUGACGCUGAGGCGCGAAAGCGUGGGGAGCAAACAGGAUUUGAUACCCU
rnacentral:rRNA from 1 species